AUUGAACGCUGGCGGCAGGCCUAACACAUGCAAGUCGAACGAGUGGCGGACGGGUGAGUAAUGUCUGGGAAACUGCCCGAUGGAGGGGGAUAACUCAUGGCAACGGUAGCUAAUACCGCGUACCAUCCGAUUUGCCCAGAUGGGAUUAGCUUGUAGGUGAGGGAACGGCUCACCUAGGCGACGAGCCCUAGCUGGUCUGAGAGGAUGACCAGCAACACUGGAACUGAGACACGGUCGAGACUCCUACGGGAGGCAGCAGUGGGGAAUAUUGCACAAUGGGCGCAAGACUGAGGCAGCCAUGCCGCGGGUAUGAAGAAGGCCUUCGGGUUGUAAAGUACUGUCAGCGGGGAGGCGUUACCAGCAGAAGAAGCACAGGCUAACUCCGUGCCAGCAGCCGCGGUAAUAC
rnacentral:rRNA from 1 species